rnacentral:misc_RNA from 1 species
UUAACUAUUGUAUAGUACUCGGACGACACUGUAAGACAGGGUUGGGGGGUCUCUGGCGGGCGCGCACCAGCCGGGGCCGGUGGCCAAAAGGCGGCCCGCCAAAGCAACAAAGGCACGGUAUACAAAGGGUGGGAGGUCUACCCCGAGGGGCAUGAACUCUGUAAUGAUCCUUCCGCAGGUUCACCUACGGAAA